UCACAAAACCGCGAUACCAUCCCACUCCAUCUUCAUUCCUAUAUCACAAAACACCUUCACACUCCACCCUCUUGCACACCCAACCCCCUUAACCGCGCCUAUUUCUUCACUUCAACCUCGCACAACCAGUUCCAUUUCCUCACACCGUGAGCAUUGACCAAGAGUGAGAGAGGGAGAGCUUCACCUCGUGAUCAUCGACGAGAGAGAGAGAGAGAGCUGCACCUUGCAGCCGAGAGGAAAGAAAGAAAAAUCGCGAGCUGAAUCUUCUCUGGUCUGUCCGUGAGUUUGAGGGAAGAAAGGAGAGAGCAAGUGGAAGUCGUGGGAGCUGCUGAUCGUCACCACCUUCAUCAGUCCCAGCCGCAACUAUUGCAACCAGAACCAGCACUUCAGGCCUUGCGCGCGUGCCGAGAGGAAGAAAAAAAUUCAGCUCUGCCGUGUGGGUGAGUUGCACUGUGAGGUAAUUUCUGGACCAUUUUAGGUUGAUCAAGAGGUAGAUUGAGCCAUCUAGGGGCAUGCAUGUAUUGUUUGUGCAAUCGGAUGAUGAAAUCAAAGCAUUAGAAAAAUCUGUUUUGGAAGUAAAUGGUUUUGCCGAAAAGCUGAAGUGGAGAUGCAGCUUUAAUUCUGUUUCCCUGAUGCAAUCUGAAUGUAUAUAUGUGUUUCCCUAACUUAAGACAAGAUGAUUAAACUGUGAAUGCAGCUCAUUUGCUCGGUUAAGCAAGAAAUAAAGAUGAACAAGAAAAUCUGUUGCAUGCAAGAUCAUCCGAGAAUAGUCGUAGGAAUUUCUGGAAUUGUGGAUGUUUAUAGCUGCUGACCGAACUUGCUCUGAACUAGAUAUGAUAAGUAACUUUAUUGGGUAGCCUCGCAUGUCAAUUUUGGGUGCCUAAUAUAAUGAUCCAGCCAGGGAAAAGUUUACAUCUUAUGACCAUUAGCUGCUGGCAUUUUUUUUUGUGAUAGCCGAGAGCUUGACUUGAAUAAUGCAGCCUUAAUUGGUUUAAUCCUGUUGUUCUGAGCUUAUAACCGUGAUUAGCUGGGUAAUAACAAGAUAAGUAAGCUUUUCAUGUAGUUAAUUAAUUGGGUUAAAACAGAAAAAUUAAUUGAAACAGAAAUCCGCUGCAUGCUUGAUCAUCCGAGGAUAGCUGGAAAAUUUCUGGAAUUUUGGAGAUAAUUAUAACUGUGAUUUGAACUCGAUUUCUGAACUGGAAAUGUUUAUUUUCUAGCUAAGUAAUUGCAUGAGGAAGUUGAGAGUUUAAAAGCAUGUUUUAACCAAGAAAAUAAAAUGAAAACAGAAAGUUUCUUCAUGCAUGUUCAACCGUGACUAGUUGGACAGAUUUCUGGAUUUUUCUCGAUGAUUUUAGUUGCUGAAUGAAUCUGGUUUUGAAGUGAAUUUUUUAAUAGCUAGCUAAGUGUUUACAUGCUGAAUUUGAGUACCUAACACCAUGUUUAAACCAAGGGAAAAUUUGAUCUAAAAAGUAUUUGGUUGCUGGAAAAUUUUGGAAGCCACAAGGGUUGAACCAGAAAUUUUAGUUUGUUUUUGGAAGUUUAAUUGGUUUCUGGAACGUUAUUUUAUUUUUCCCUUGGGAUAUAAUGGUUUAGAAAUACAGAGGAGUUGUAAGUUUUAAGUUGUGCAAGUUGUUUAGUAAUGAAAUAUUUGAUAAAUUGGAAGAUGGAACCAAAAAUGUUAGUGUAUACAUGCCGGAAUUUCUUUUGUGGUAGCCGAAGGGUGAGUUGGAAUCUUAGCUUGGUUUUUAAAUAUUUCUUUGAAUCAUGAUGGAUGGAAAUGCCUGGAAUAUGUUGUUUUGGAGUUUUAUAAGAAAUGUAUGGAUGGUUGAAUAAAAACAUUUUGGUGUUAAAAGAGAAAAAGGAGUUUUUCACAAGUGGAAAAUGAAAUUUCAGAUUUUCGGAUGUCCUUGACCAGUCUCAGUAAAAUGCAUGUAUCUUGGUGUAGGAAAAUCCGUUUAAGGCGCCGUCAGUGGCAUUUGAAACUAGAUUCAUGGGCCUUUGUUCUGUAGAAAUUUCAUAUUUUCCCUCCAUAUGUACUGCUGUCCGUGACUCCUCAAAGUAGACUGUCCUGCUUGAAUGUCCUGUUUCUUUAUGAAACUGAAUUUUUGACUUGGAUCGAACAUUUAGCUUAUUUGUGGUUUGAAUUCUUGAUUGAAUUGUGGUUGGAAGUGAUUGAUGUUGUCAAGGGCUAAUGAUUGAUGAAGCCCUUGGUCAUUUGAAUGGUUUUAUAAAUAUUAAAGAGUGAUGAACUUUGAUUGCUGGAAUUUCUUGAAGGCCUUACCUUCAUUUUUGAUUUAGUUAAGAUGUGAUAUAAGCUUGCCGAAACCAAGUGCUAAUGAUUGAUGAAGCCUUGGUCAUUCAUUUUAUUUUUAUCAGAAAUGCAUUUGUUGAAAUCUAGGGCUAAUGAUUGACGAAGCCCUAGUAAUUUGCUAUGUGAUUUUUGCCAUAUUUUGAUCCAUACUAUGAUUUCGAAACGGGAUCGGAGCUGUGGAAAUUGUAUCGACCUUGCGAACUCGAGUAACUGUGAUCAAAUUAAUCAAAAAUAUUUUCCAGCUAGUAUUAGAUUAUAAAACUCAAUAUCUAGUGUUUCGCCUAAAACUUUCCAAACCAAUAAUUUCCUUUAGCUCAAACUAGCCUUGAUAGCUAUAGUAAUUAAAUUCUAUAGCUUUUGAAAACCCUAAGUUUUAUAUAUAUGUUCCUAUCAAUCAUUAGCUAAUAUUAAACUUAGGGUAACAGUAGCUAAGUAUAUCUGGAACAUAGGACAAUACACUCGCGCACUCGUGAUUAUAUAUUUAACAUAUAUAUACACAGAGUUAUAAUCAUAUAACUCUAAUUUAAAGUAUACUAAUGGUAUACUUAGAUUGAUAUGAUUAUAUUAAUGGUAUACUUAGAUUAUAUUAAGUGUAUCAUUAAGAUUAUAUGGUAUACUUAAGUAUAGCUUAUGUAUACCAUUAAUCUAUAUGGUAUUAAUUUAAUACAAAUUAGAUUGUAAAUUAGAUUAUAAAUUAAUGAUAUGAUUAUAUUAAUGGUAUACUAUAUAGAUUAUAUUAUAAUAUACAUCAAUACGUAUUCUAAUAUGGUAUAUUAUAGAUAAUGGUAUAUUAAGUAUAAAUACUUAAAUCUAAUGACAUAAUUUAUAAUCUAAAUUAAUACCAUAAAUUAUAAUAUAGAUUAUAUUAAGUGUAUAAUCCAUUAGUAUAUAGCUUAUGUAUAUACUUAAGUAUAUCAAACAUAAAGUUAUUUAAUGAUAAAUACUACUGUAUCAAUUACAUAUACUAAUGGUAUUGUGUAAUACUUGAAAUACUAUAUGUUAGCUUAUAUGUGAUUUCUAAUAUUAGUAUAUGUAAUUGAAGUAACCGAAUAGCAAUACUUGUUCCUCACAUCAUAUGUAAGGGGUAUAUUACCCCACGUAUCCAAAAACUCAAGAAUUAUCAGAGCUAUAUUAAUACAAUGUAGGACUAAUAACUCCAACAGAUUUCCUUUAUUGAAGGCAUUAUCUACCUAAUAUUAGCUAGUCUAGGGCCAGAGGUUACCUCGGUUUGAGGCUUAGCUCACACGACAAUGAGCUGCAGAAAUUUUCCUCUCAGCUUGCUAUCGCUCUUGGGGUUUGGUUGUUGCAGCACCGCAGCUCACUAGCUCUCCCUCUCUUGCUCACACGCGAACUGGAGGUGGUGGUCCUGGUUGGAUGUUGCAGUUGCGGUGGAGUUGCUGGAAACGGGUGCAGCUGGUUGAGGUGAAGAAAAUGGUCACAGCUGGUGGAGGUGAAGGUGCAGAAAAGGAUUGAACUCACGCGGUGUCUCUUUCUUUCUUCCCUCAAGCUCGCAGACAGAACCGAAAAUGUGGCAGCUCGCAGUUUUCUUUCCUUGCUCUCAUAUGCAGAAUGCCGCUCUCUCUCCUUCCCCUCGGUCGAUGAUUACAAGGUGAGGAAUGUUGUUGUGGUUUGGGGCUGAGGUAAAAAUGGAGAGGAAAUGGUUUUCGGUGAGUUUGUGCAGAGAAGGAAAUGAGGUUUGGUGAAGGGUGGUGUCUCGGUAUCAAGAAAGGAAGUGGUUUGCGGUUUGCUUGUGCAGAGAAGGAAUUGGAAUUGCGGUUUGUGUUUGUGAAAUAGAGAGGAUGGUAUUUGUGGUGCCGCGAUUUAAGGAAAGGAUUGCGUAUAAGAAUUGGUUGCGUAUCGAAUUGGUAAUAGCUGCGGUGAUUGGAUUUGCGGUCUGAAGUCUUGUUUGGUUUGCAUGGAAAUGUAAGGGCAUUUUAGUCUUUUCACUUUGCUCCCUAACCUCAACUUAAUUUCUCAAUUCCAACUUAAUUCUAAAAAUUAUCCCCAAGUGUGAUUUGAACGCCUAAUUAUAACCUAAUAUACCUACACCAUUUCUAUCGAAUAAUUAUCGAUUAAACUUGGAUAUUAACGUUCCUAGUAAUUCUUAUAUUACUUAGCGAUUAAAUUAGUUAUUAGAAUUUCCAAUUAUUAUUUCUCACGAAAUAGAGUUAGUCUAACUCGAAAUGUGUGUAUAUGGAGCUCCUGGGGUCAUUAAAUUUCUCAUUGUUUUGCUAACUAUUAUCACAUAUAACAAUACACUAAUCAAAAUGCUAUCUUAUUGUUUAUGUAUAGUGCAUUAUUACAUAUAACUAUUGUUCAAAUUUUCUCUACAUAUUAACCAGUCGAUGUGUAUCACAUAUAAUCACAUAGUAGACUUUAAUGGCAUUUUCGAAAUGUGUAACUCGAAAAUGAUCAAGUCUACCAUAUACAUUAACUCGAAAUGUGUCGUUCCAUUUUCAUAUAAAAGAAAAUGGAAUUGAAGUACUCUGAGCUUAUAGCUGUGAUUAAUUAGCUAAUUACAAGAUGUUUAAGAGAUUGCAUGUGAUGAUUAAGCACUCGGAUGAUGCAAUCAAGGCAUGAGAAAAUCUGAUUCUGGGAGAAAAUGUUUCUGCCGAGAGUGGAUUAGAAAUUGCAGCUUUAUUUUUGUUCCCCUGUGACAAUCUGAGCUUAAUGCUGUGUUUAACCAAUCAUAAACAAGAAGAUUAAGCGAAUUAGGGGCAUGCAUGUAUUGUUUAUGCAGUCGGUUGAUGAAAUCAAAACUCUAGAAAAAUCUGUUUUGCAGACAAAUGAUGUUGCCGAGAACUUGUUCUGAUUAAUGCAGCUUAAUUCGGUUUAAUUAAUCACAGCUAUAAGCUCAGAGUACUUCAAUUCCAUUUUCUUUUAUAUGAAAAUGGAACGACACAUUUCGAGUUAAUGUAUAUGGUAGACUUGAUCAUUUUCGAGUUACACAUUUCGAAAAUGCCAUUAAAGUCUACUAUGUGAUUAUAUGUGAUACACAUCGACUGGUUAAUAUGUAGAGAAAAUUUGAACAAUAGUUAUAUGUAAUAAUGCACUAUACAUAAACAAUAAGAUAGCAUUUUGAUUAGUGUAUUGUUAUAUGUGAUAAUAGUUAGCAAAACAAUGAGAAAUUUAAUGACCCCAGGAGCUCCAUAUACACACAUUUCGAGUUAGACUAACUCUAUUUCGUGAGAAAUAAUAAUUGGAAAUUCUAAUAACUAAUUUAAUCGCUAAGUAAUAUAAGAAUUACUAGGAACGUUAAUAUCCAAGUUUAAUCGAUAAUUAUUCGAUAGAAAUGGUUUAAGUAUAUUAGGUUAUAAUUAGGCGUUCAAAUCACACUUGGGGAUAAUUUUUAGAAUUAAGUUGGAAUUGAGAAAUUAAGUUGAGGUUAGGGAGCAAAGUGAAAAGACUAAAAUGUCCUUACAUUUCCAUGCAAACCAAACAAUACUUCUGACCGCAAAUCCAAUCACCGCAGCUAUUACCAAUUCGAUACGCAACCAAUUCUUAUACGCAAUCCUUUCCUUAAACCGCGGCACCACAAUACCAUCCUCUCUAUUUCACAAACACAAACCGCAAUUCCAAUUCCUUCUCUGCACAAGCAAACCGCAAACCACUUCCUUUCUUGAUACCGAGACACCACCCUUCACCAAACCUCAUUUCCUUCUCUGCACAAACUCACCGAAAACCAUUUCCUCUCCAUUUUUACCUCAGCCCCAAACCACAACAACAUUCCUCACCUUGUAAUCAUCGACCGAGGGGAAGGAGAGAGAGCGGCAUUCUGCAUAUGAGAGCAAGGAAAGAAAACUGCGAGCUGCCACAUUUUCGGUUCUGUCUGCGAGCUUGAGGGAAGAAAGAAAGAGACACCGCGUGAGUUCAAUCCUUUUCUGCACCUUCACCUCCACCAGCUGUGACCAUUUUCUUCACCUCAACCAGCUGCACCCGUUUCCAGCAACUCCACCGCAACUGCAACAUCCAACCAGGACCACCUCCAGUUCGCGUGUGAGCAAGAGAGGGAGAGCUAGUGAGCUGCGGUGCUGCAACAACCAAACCCCAAGAGCGAUAGCAAGCUGAGAGGAAAAUUUCUGCAGCUCAUUGUCGUGUGAGCUAAGCCUCAAACCGAGGUAACCUCUGGCCCUAGACUAGCUAAUAUUAGGUAGAUGAUGCUGAUUAAAAGCUUGCAUGUAACGGUUAGCCACUUGGAUGAUGGGUUAAGGCACCAGAAAUUCUGAUUAUGAAAAGAAAAUGGAAUUGCCGUGAGCUUGAAUCAGAAAUGCAGACUUGAUCAUUGCUUAUAGCUAAUAUGAGCUAUAUUAGUGUUUUGCUAACGACUUUAAUGGUAUGAUUAGUAGACUUUUAAGAAUUGAGAAAUAAUGGAGCUAAUGCACUAUACAUAAACAAUGAGAUUGCAUUUUGAUUAGUGUAUUGUUAUAUGUGAUAAUAGUUAUAUGUGAUUGUAAAGUCUACUAUACACUAAUCAAUUAAAGUCUACAUAUUUGAUGCUGUGGGUUAUUAAUAGGAAAAUGAUAAUCUUAAUUCCUUUAAUCGUUAUUGAUGCUGUGGCGACUCCACUUCCCCCUAAGGCGAACCAAAGGGUUGGCGGGCCGUCCCAUGCAUGAAUCACCUACAUUUGAGAUUCCUACCCAACAUACAUAUCUAAUAUCCCCAACCAUAGACUUUUUGUUCCACACCUAACAAGCCAAUCCCCACAGUCCGAGAACCUUUUCCCGGUUUGAGCUCGAUAAGAGCUCUGAUACCAACUGUGACGCCCCCCACUUUUCCCCAGGGCGAACCCAAGGGUAUCCGCGGGACGCCUGCCCAGCUCUCGCCAGGACUCAAGACAAAUCAAAUCGAACUUAACGAUGCAUACCAAAUACUACGAGUCAAAAUAAAGAAAAGUCGCUUCCUUAACUAAAUAUUUAAAUCUUACAUCAUGUCCACAAAAGAUACAUCAAGUUCCAAAAUGCAACCAUUAAAAGUCGACUACACAUUUAAUACAUAUGUAAUGGAGAAAAUGCCAUUAAAGUCUACUAUACACAAAUCAAUUAUAUAAUAAUUGAUUCCAAUUAUUAUAUGGAGAUUGCAACGAGUUAGCUACACUUGAUCAUUGUUGAAGCUAUAUUAGUCAUUGGAGGUAUGAUUCUUUCUUUUAUUUGUCUAUCUAAGGUUCUCAGUGACCUAGUACCGUACACACUUUUUGCAAAACCCUAGAUUUAUAAGAUAGAAUCAAAGUUUGACUACUAAUUGGGUAAAUAGAAAUUGUGAUAUAUGGAUCGGAGGGUGUAAGUUAGUGAUUAAUUUGAAAGGCAUGACUCUUAAGGGGUAUGACUAUUAUCCAAAGUGUGAAUUUCGAGGACGAAAUUCUUUUAAGGAGGGGAGGAUGUGAGGACCCGAAAUUUUUUAUUUUUUAUUUUAUCGAAUAUUAGUAGUUUGUUUAAAUAUUUAUUUACUCAUUUUUCUUCAAAUUAUUUAUUUCGAUCAUUUAAAAUCUAUUUAUAUGGAACGACGCCUCUUUUAUAUUUUUAAAAGCGUUUUGUUGAAAAAAUUCACUUUUCGAAAACUCGUUUAGUUCGGAACAACGAGUGCACGUUUUUCGAGACUAUAUUUGAAUCGAGAGUGUAUUAAUAUUGGAGAAUUAAGAACGAUCAAUAAUAGAUUAAGAAAGGUUAAUUGAGGAAUUAAUACUCAAUUCACGUGAGUACUCGUAAAAUUAUUAUUUUUAAACCCCUAAUUUUGGCUCAAUUAAUUAUCUAUUUGGAUUUUUGCCCCGAAUAUUAUUUUCUAUCCUUAUUAGACCUAAAUAUAUGGUUUUAUAGUUUCGUUAUAUUUUUAAAGUGUCUCGUUUCAAAAAUUAUUUUCUUAGAAGCUUGUUUAGUGAAAAAGUGAAAACGUGUCUGAAAACUUUAGCCAAUUAGGAGUACAAUAAGCUCGGAAAUUUGGAGACAUGUACAAUGGUUCUAAAAUAGGUAAAUUUAGAUUUAAGUACUCAAGUGAUAGUUGGUGGUACGAUCGUUAUAAGAAUUUCUCGAAAGUUUCAUUUUAUUGCGCCUAAAUUGGGAAUACGUGUUUUCACGUUUGGACCAUUAUUUUGGGACAAUUAAGAAUGAAUAAUAUUUAUAUGAAUGUAAGUGCCCUAGAGGUUUAGUGCACUAGUGUAACAAACGUAAGAGAAAUCGAACAUGAAACGUGCGCGUAGGGCACUAGUUGUAAUUGAUUUGACGUAUUUAAAAUAUUAGACGUCAAGCGUCUUUUGUACGCAAAGGAAACCAGAACCGCAUCUCAUUUCUUCUAGCUGCAAUGGACGGAUAGCUUCAGCCGUAACAGCUUCACCAUUCCUUCUACAAAUUCACCAAAUCACUACCAAAGCCUCCAUAGAUUCAACCAAAACUUCACAUACACUUAACUCUACACUUGGACAACACCUUAAGCUGAAAAAGGGAGGAGCUUCACGGUUUUCUUCAGGCUUCAAAGGGACCGAAAUUUUCUGAUUUGAACAACCAUCAAAGUAGGUAAUGAUCAACUACCUUAAACUUGUCUUAUGGAGGUUGAUUUAUGCAUUUGAGCUGAAAUCUUCACUUUAGUAGCUUGUAUUGUUGGAAAAAAAGUGGCUCUAUGAAUUCCCACUCUUGGGUUGUUGCUGAUUUUGUGCUUGAUGAAGUUUAUGAUAUCGGAUCAGUGUUUAAGUUAGUGAUUUGUUGAAGGAAAACUGCUGGAAACUCACGUUGAGUGCAAUGGCCAAGUUUGACCAUUUUGCCCCUGGUUGUUCGGCCACUUUACUGCAGAUAUUUGAGGAUUUAAUGGCUUGAUUGUGUUGUUUACAUGUUGUAGAAGUUGUGUACAAAAUUUCGUUGAAAAAUAUUGAGUUUUGGUUGAUCAAAAGAAUUUAUUUUCCAAAGUUAGUAAUCUGGAAACGGUUGCCGUCGUAACCAGACAAGUGUUCGUGUUUCGUCCAUAACUCCGUACUCCGAUGUCGAAAUCGAGUACCGUUAGCGGCAUUUGAAACUAGACGUUCCCAUGUUUCCAACGGUGUAUAAUGUACAUUCUGGUUCCAUGUGUGUGAACCGCACCAUUCAUCUGAAUUCAGCUGUCCUGUUUCUCCGUUCUGCCGAAAUGAUUUGAUGAUGCUGCGACUUUAGGCUUAAUUUCGAACCAGUUGCAUGCUGAAACUUGAAACGAUUUCUUCUGUGAAAUUUUAUCCCUGUGAAUUUAUUUUCUAACACUAUCAACCAUUCCCAAUUCCGAGUUAAAUUAAGGGAGUUAUGAUCAAAAUACGGCGACUGCCUCAUUUUUUAAAAUCUUAGAUUUGGACAGAUUGCCUUAAGGAUUUUUCCAAACUUUGGUCGAUUGAUUAACCACCUUCCCGAAGGUAUUUUUCCAUGAAAUUUGAUAGGGAGAUACCUUUCAUAUAGGAGUAUUAUACUUAAAAAUUUGGUAUCAAUCCAAGUUCGUUUCGACACUUAACUAAAAGUCCAAAGUCGGAACCAAAUCUGGAAAUUUGUUAACAGUCUUGAAAUUUACCCAACUUUGAGCUACCAUAUCUUGGUGCUCGAAACUCCGAUUCUCGAUCCGCUUGUUCUGUCCUAAACCUUACUUGCACCUCUAAUUGAGCUACAAAUUUCAAGGGCUGGUUUGCAACGAGUGAAUUCUGCUGAAUUUUCAAAGUUAGCAAAAAACCAACCCCGACUCAAUCCUGGGUGAUUUGGAACAGCAACUUUAAGCUCAUUUUUGAACACCUUCCACUUAGAUUCAUGGAAAAGUGUCUUCUAAGAACUUUUAGUACUUUGGAAUAGGUUUCCAACGGUACCAAGUUUUCCAAUUUUUGACAUGUGGAAUCUGAGAUACGAUUUUUUUCAAAAUAUCGUAUCAAAACUGAAAUUUUCUGAAUUUCAAGGAAAUGGAGUUUUUCAAGUAUUCCUUAUUCUUUCGAUAAUACUUGAAUGUUUAUGCUUGAUUUCCAAGAUAACAAAACUCGAUUGCUCUUGUACAUUAAGAAACUCCACUUGAACCUCGAUUUACUAGUAAUUGAGGUUCAUUUUCAUGAAAUUUCCCCAGAUUGUACUAGUGCACAAUCUUCCUUGAUAAUUGGGAUGUGUGAAUGAUAAUUCACUAUUAAAUGCUCAGGCGCUCAAGAGGACCUUCCAGAGGAUCUCACUGGAGACGCCUAAACCAUCAUUUGAACUCGCUACUUGAAUCACUGUGAGUGUCAAGUGCAUGAACUUGUUGUUAAGUGGUUAUCUGUUUCUUAUCCGUUAUGUAAAUUUGAAAUUUUGAGACGAGGGUGUACUUUAUCGCACUCGUUCUCUUUCAAAUGAAAUUAUAUUCGAAUUUUGCUAUGUGAAUUCGUAUCCGACUUGUACAUGGUAAUGUGGAUGUGAUUUGUACUUGUGAUUCGUAUAUGUGAUCCGUAUUUGUGAUUCCUAUUUGGAAUCGUCGAUUUGUGCGUUGCUCAUCGACUUAUAUUCGUAUUCGUAUUCAUAUUCGGGGGACGCCCAAAACUCGUUGGCUAACUUUGCGAAUCGAGCCAGUAUGGGCUUGGUCGAUAAGCUUAGCAAACCAUGAGAUAUUCGUAGAGUAUGAUCUAUUGGAGAGAUCUUGCUCGGCAUUACUCGUGCAGUAUUGCCAUGAUAUACUUGAGUAUUAUCAAAAACUUUGAUGAGCGGGCCCGGUAAGGGGGUGUAACGGUGACGGGAUUCGAAGAAAAGUGGUGUAUCUACGGAUUUGAUACUUAUGUGGUUGACGGAGUGUCAACGUGAGAUGUGAUCAAGAUUUCGACUCGACUACGUGAAAUUUAGCUCCUGAUAGCUACAGUAUCCUUGAAUUAUUUCUGUUUAUUUUUCCUAUUCGAAAUGUGAAUUAUUCGAAUUUGAUAGCCUUACCUAUAAUGUAAUUGUUGUUGCUACUUGGAUUAUGUGUUUGCAUGUGUGUUUUCUUGGCCUCACUGAGUAUUGGCUCAUCCUAUUAGUUUGUUUUCCUUAACAGGUUGGAUUGGAAGAUUUUGGUAAAGCCGACUAGAUUAUACUUUUGAUUGGAAUCGGGGCUGUAAAUGUGUAGUCGAC
rnacentral:lncRNA from 1 species